UAGGGAAUCUUCCACAAUGGACGCAAGUCUGAUGGAGCAACGCCGCGUGAGUGAAGAAGGUCUUCGGAUCGUAAAGCUCUGUUGUUGGUGAAGAAGGAUAGAGGCAGUAACUGGUCUUUAUUUGACGGUAAUCAACCAGAAAGUCACGGCUAACUACGUGCCAGCAGCCGCGGUAAUACGUAGGUGGCAAGCGUUGUCCGGAUUUAUUGGGCGUAAAGCGAGCGCAGGCGGAAUGAUAAGUCUGAUGUGAAAGCCCACGGCUCAACCGUGGAACUGCAUCGGAAACUGUCAUUCUUGAGUGCAGAAGAGGAGAGUGGAACUCCAUGUGUAGCGGUGGAAUGCGUAGAUAUAUGGAAGAACACCAGUGGCGAAGGCGGCUCUCUGGUCUGCAACUGACGCUGAGGCUCGAAAGCAUGGGUAGCGAACAGGAUUAGAUACCCCGGUAGUCCAUGCCGUAAACGAUGAGCGCUAGGUGUUGGGGACUUUCCGGUCCUCAGUGCCGCAGCAAACGCAUUAAGCGCUCCGCCUGGGGAGUACGACCGCA
rnacentral:rRNA from 1 species